rnacentral:rRNA from 1 species
UACGGGGGGGGCAAGCGUUGUUCGGAAUUACUGGGCGUAAAGGGCUCGUAGGCGGCCAACUAAGUCGGAUGUGAAAUCCCCAGGCUCAACUUGGGAACUGCAUCCGAUACUGGAUGGCUUGAAUACGGGAGAGGGAUGCAGAAUUCCAGGUGUAGCGGUGAAAUGCGUAGAUAUCUGGAGGAAUACCGGUGGCGAAGGCGGCAUCCUGGACCGACAUUGACGCUGAGGAGCGAAAGCUAGGGGAGCAAACGGG